AAUGAACGCUGGCGGCGUGCCUAAUACAUGCGAGUCGAACGAGAAAGUGGCUUCGGUCAUGAGUACAGUGGCAGACGGGUGAGUAAUACAUAGGUAACCUACCUCUAAGUUGGGGAUAACCUUCCGAAAGGAGGGCUAAUACCGAAUAAGACUAGGAAGACACAUGUCUUUGCAGCCAAAGAUGGCCUCUAUUUAUAAGCUAUCGCUUGGAGAUGGGCUUAUGCACCAUUAGCUAGUUGGUAGGGUAAAAGCCUACCAAGGCUGUGAUGGUUAGCUGAUCUGAGAGGUUGAUCAGCCACACUGGAACUGAGACACGGUCCAGACUCCUACGGGAGGCAGCAGUAGGGAAUAUUGCGCAAUGGAGGAAACUCUGACGCAGCGACGCCGCGUGGGUGACGAAGGCUUCGGGUCGUAAAACCCUGUCGGAAGGGACGAAUUGCCACUCAAUUAAUACGUGAGUGGAGUGACGGUACCUUUAAAGGAAGC
rnacentral:rRNA from 1 species